UACGUAGGUGGCGAGCGUUGUCCGGAAUUACUGGGUGUAAAGAGCUCGUAGGCGGCUCGUCGCGUCGUCCGUGAAAACCCGGAGCUCAACUCCGGGCCUGCAGUCGAUACGGGCAGACUGGAGUUCGGCAGGGGAGACUGGAAUUCCUGGUGUAGCGGUGAAAUGCGCAGAUAUCAGGAGGAACACCGGUGGCGAAGGCGGGUCUCUGGGCCGAUACUGACGCUGAGGAGCGAAAGCGUGGGGAGCGAACAGG
rnacentral:rRNA from 1 species